UACAGAGGUCUCAAGCGUUGUUCGGAUUCAUUGGGCGUAAAGGGUGCGUAGGCGGCGCGGUAAGUCGGGUGUGAAAUCUCGGAGCUUAACUCCGAAACUGCAUUCGAAACUGCCGUGCUUGAGGACUGGAGAGGAGACUGGAAUUUACGGUGUAGCGGUGAAAUGCGUAGAUAUCGUAAGGAAGACCAGUGGCGAAGGCGGGUCUCUGGACAGUUCCUGACGCUGAGGCACGAAGGUCAGGGGAGCAAACGGG
rnacentral:rRNA from 1 species